rnacentral:ncRNA from 1 species
AUCAGAGUAUGAACAAAUUUAGACUGUGAAACUGUGAAUGGCUCAUUAAAUCAAUUAUAGUUUGUUUGAUGGUAUCUACUACUCGAAUAACCGUAGUAAUUCUAGAGCUAAUAUGUGCAACAAACCCCUACUUCUAGAAGGGAUGCAUUUAUUAGAUAAAAGGUCGAUGCGGGCUCUGCCCGUUGCUGUGAUGAUUCAUGAUAACUCGACGGAUCGCACGACCAUCGUGCUGGCAACGCAUCAUUCAAAUUUCUGCCCUAUCAACUGUCGAUGGUAGGAUAGUGGCCUACUGUUAGCCCCUAAUAAUGAG